GACGAACGCUGGCGGCGUGCUUAACACAUGCAAGUCGAACGGAAAGGCCCUGCUUUUGUGGGGUGCUCGAGUGGCGAACGGGUGAGUAACACGUGAGUAACCUGCCCUUGACUUUGGGAUAACUUCAGGAAACUGGGGCUAAAACCGGAUAGGAGCUCCUGCUGCAUGGUGGGGGUUGGAAAGUUUCGGCGGUUGGGGAUGGAAUAGCGGCUUAUCCGCUUGUUGGUGGGGUAGUGGCUUACCAAGGCUUUGACGGGUAGCCGGCCUUGGAGGGUGACCGGCGACAUUGGGACUGAGAGAGGGCGCAGACUCCUACGGGAGGCAGCAGUGGGGAAUAUUGCACAAUGGGCGGAAGCCUGAGGCAGCAACGCCGCGUGCGUGAUGACGGCCUUCGGGUGGUAAACCACUUUCGCCGGUGACGAAGCGUGAGUGACGGUAAUUGGUAAAGAAGCACCGGCUAACUACGUG
rnacentral:rRNA from 1 species